UACGUAGGGCGCAAGCGUUGUCCGGAAUUAUUGGGCGUAAAGAGCUCGUAGGCGGUUUGUCACGUCGGAUGUGAAAGCCCGGGGCUUAACCCCGGGUCUGCAUUCGAUACGGGCAGACUAGAGUGUGGUAGGGGAGAUCGGAAUUCCUGGUGGAGCGGUGAAAUGCGUAGAUAUCUGGAGGAACACCGGUGGCGAAAGCGGCUCACUGGACCGAAUCUGACACUGAGGUGCGAAAGCUAGGUAGCAACAGGGG
rnacentral:rRNA from 1 species